rnacentral:rRNA from 1 species
UCGCUCCUACCGAUUUCGAGUGUUCCGGUGAACCUUUUGGACCGUUGGCUCCUCGUGGGCUAGUGGGAAAUCAAGUAAACCAUAACACUUAGAGGAAGGAG